rnacentral:rRNA from 1 species
AACAGCUCAAAUUUGAAAUCUGGCCCCCUCGGGGCCCGAGUUGUAAUUUGUAGAGGAUGUUUCGGGUGUGGCUCCGGUCUAAGUUCCUUGGAACAGGACGUCAUAGAGGGUGAGAAUCCCGUAUGUGACUGGCAGCCUACGCCCAUGUGAAACUCCUUCGACGAGUCGAGUUGUUUGGGAAUGCAGCUCAAAAUGGGUGGUAAAUUUCAUCUAAAGCUAAAUAUUGGCCAGAGACCGAUAGCGCACAAGUAGAGUGAUCGAAAGAUGAAAAGCACUUUGGAAAGAGAGUUAAACAGUACGUGAAAUUGUUGAAAGGGAAGCGCUUGCAACCAGACUUGCGUGCGGCCGAUCAUCCGGUGUUCUCACCGGUGCACUCGGUCGUGCUCAGGCCAGCAUCGGUUUCGGCGGCUGGAUAAAGGCCAUGGGAAUGUAGCUCCUCUCGGGGAGUGUUAUAGCCCGUGGUGCAAUGCAGCCCGCUGGGACCGAGGACCGCGCUUCGGCUAGGAUGCUGGCGUAAUGGUUGUAAGCGACCCGUCUUGAAACACGGACCAAGGAGUCUAACAUCUAUGCGAGUGUUUGGGUGUCAAACCCAUACGCGGAAUGAAAGUGAACGGAGGUGAGAACCCUUAAGGGUGCAUCAUCGACCGAUCCUGAUGUCUUCGGAUGGAUUUGAGUAAGAGCAUAGCUGUUGGGACCCGAAAGAUGGUGAACUAUGCCUGAAUAGGGUGAAGCCAGAGGAAACUCUGGUGGAGGCUCGCAGCGGUUCUGACGUGCAAAUCGAU